AUUGAACGCUGGCGGCAUGCUUUACACAUGCAAGUCGAACGGCAGCGCGGGCUUCGGCCUGGCGGCGAGUGGCGAACGGGUGAGUAAUGCAUCGGAACGUGCCCAGUAGUGGGGGAUAGCGCGGCGAAAGCGGGAUUAAUACCGCAUACGACCUGAGGGUGAAAGCGGGGGAGCGAAAGGCCUCGCGCUAUUGGAGCGGCCGAUGUCGGAUUAGCUAGUUGGUGGGGUAAAGGCUUACCAAGGCGACGAUCCGUAGCUGGUCUGAGAGGACGACCAGCCACACUGGAACUGAGACACGGCCCAGACUCCUACGGGAGGCAGCAGUGGGGAAUUUUGGACAAUGGGCGCAAGCCUGAUCCAGCCAUGCCGCGUGCGGGAAGAAGGCCUUCGGGUUGUAAACCGCUUUUGUUCGGGAAGAAAUCCUCUGGGCUAAUACCCCGGGGGGAUGACGGUACCGAAAGAAUAAGCACCGGCUAACUACGUG
rnacentral:rRNA from 1 species